CGGUCCAGACUCCUACGGGAGGCUGCAGUAGGGAAUCUUCCACAAUGGGCGAAAGCCUGAUGGAGCAACGCCGCGUGUGUGAUGAAGGCUUUCGGGUCGUAAAGCACUGUUGUAUGGGAAGAACAGCUAGAAUAGGAAAUGAUUUUAGUUUGACGGUACCAUACCAGAAAGGGACGGCUAAAUACGUGCCAGCAGCCGCGGUAA
rnacentral:rRNA from 2 species